GGCGCGAUAGCAAAGCGGUCAUGCAGCGGCCUGCAAAGCCGUUUAGGCCGGUUCGACUCCGGCUCGCGCCUCCA
rnacentral:tRNA from 1 species